rnacentral:misc_RNA from 1 species
CCAAUAGCGUAUAUUAAAGUUGUUGCAGUUAAAAAGCUCGUAGUUGAACUUCGGGAUCAAUUAGUUGGUCAUGCCUUGGUAUGUACUGAUUUUAUUGGUUCUCACCUUCUAAAGAACUAUAAUGUCAUUUAUUUGAUGUUAUAGGGAAUUAGGACUGUUACCUUGAAAAAAUUAGAGUGUUUAAAGCAGGCUCACGCUUGAAUACAUUAGCAUGGAAUAAUGAAAUAGGACAUCGCAUUCUAUUUUGUUGGUUUCUAGGAUCGAUGUAAUGAUUAAUAGGGAUAGUUGGGGGCAUUAGUAUUCAAUUGUCAGAGGUGAAAUUCUUGGAUUUAUUGAAGACUAACUACUGCGAAAGCAUUUGCCAAGGAUGUUUUCAUUAAUCAAGAACGAAAGUUAGGGGAUCGAAGACGAUCAGAUACCGUCGUAGUCUUAACCAUAAACUAUGCCGACUAGGGAUCGGAUGAUGUUGAUUUUUUAAUGACUCAUUCGGCACCUUACGGGAAACCAAAUGUUUGGGUC